rnacentral:lncRNA from 1 species
CUUCCUUUUCAACAGAGCUUCCAGGCAAGCAAACCCUCCUUGAGCAUUCCGAUAUCGCCCAUUUCUUUCCCUCUCAUGCUUGCAUUAGAACUGCUACUGCUUUAUGUAUGAUCCUACUCUGAUGCAUAGCCUGUUUUUGUUACCAGCUUUCAUACCUUACCUACUUAUCCUAAACUGCUUAGUAUAGGUUGGUUAGAGAACCAUCAGUGACCCCCACCUUGUCCCAGUUGCCCCGCUUUAUGUUUGAUGACUCGAUCAACGUGAUCGACGUCCAGGCCCCGACACCGCACAUCACUUUCCCCUUUUGUUGCUCGACUCUGCAGAGUUACCAUCAAGUGCUGAGGGUGGAACCUCUUACAUCACUCCUGAUGAGAACUCUAUAGUGUAGCUAUACGGUCAAGGUCAUUGAGGGUGAUUUCCUCCUUAAUCACUUCCGUUAUGGCUCCGUCGUGCAACCCCUCAAGUGCGAACCUCGAGGGUGGAUCCUCUUACGUUCACCUUGAUGAUAACAUCAAGUGGAAUUCACCGGGGGUGAUUCCUCGGGUUUUCCCCUUGGCGUUAGACGAACAGUUACUAUGGUUACUAUGUCUUUACACUGAACCAUGUUACUAAAGACGAGUCGCCCUGAGGUGUACCCGCGCGAGCUUAUUAGUGAGUGAUGUGGAGUCGGGUUGACCUGGAAGGUGCCCGCGAGAUACUUACGAGGCAUGGCCGAGCAUUCUUAGCCCUUGCCGCAAGUACUCAAGAUGGGGCGACGGGGUCACAUUGAUCGUGAGUCUCUGCUCGUUACCGCGUGCUCCUAAUCCACUAUGAUUUGGAUAUUUGAUCCGAGGGGCCUUUGGCCUGAUAGCACUAACCAUCACGUGGGCAUUAUAUGGGCGUUCUGCGUCGUAUGCAUCAGCCAAAGCUUAAUAGACGUCAGCGACUGAGUGGCGCGCGCCGGGUUGGACUCGUAACCUCCUGCCUUUUAAGGAGGUAGCUAGGUCUGCUCACCGGCCGCCCACGCAACGUGCAGGAGUUCUCGGGGCGUUGGCCCAAGACCCCUGGGGGCAUAGGUUUAGUCCGGCGUGCUGACCUCUCUAUUAAGCCUAGGUCGAGUUGUGGCGUAUUGUUUGGCCGAGGCCGGGCAUGACCCAGGAAAGUGUGUCCGGCCGAAGUUAACCGAGCGUGGUGGGUAAGUUGGUGCACCCCUGCAGGGAAGAAAACAUCUAUCAAUAGCAUGUCCUACGGUAAUGGACACUUGAAGUUGUAUCCCGAUAAAUACAAUUAGAACUAGAUACUUGUGAUGAGAAAUGGAUGGUGAUGAGAAAUGGAUAGUAUGGCUCUGGGAUUGCUUUCUCGCUGGGAGUCGAGAAAGGAUCUCUGGCCGAGGUUGAUAACACUACUACUACUUUACAUUAUGUUGAUCUGUACUCUUCUAAAUGCUGCAAGAUGCUUGAAGAUGCUAGUCUUGGAUAGGCUAGGCUUCCCCCUUCUCUUCUGGCAUUCUGCAGUUUAGUCCACAGAUACAGCCCAUUUCCUUUGAUAUAGAUGCAUACUUAGUUUAGAUCUGAUGUAAGUCUUGCGAGUACUUUGGAUGAGUACUCACUGUUGCUUUGCUACCUCUUUUCCCCCAUACCCGAUUAUUGCGACCAGAUGACAGAUCCCAGGAGCCAGACGACACCACUGAUGAUUACUACUACCCCUAGGGUGCCUACUACUACGUGACGACCACUGGGACCUGGAGUAGUUAGGAGGCUCCCAGGCAGGAGGCCUUGCCUUUUCGAUCGUUGUUGCUUUUGUGCUAGCCUUCUUAAGGCAAGCUUGUUUAACUUAUGGCUGUACUCAGAUAUUGUUGCUUCCACUGACCCUUGUGUUUUUGAGCUUAUGUAUUCGAGCCCUCGAGGCCCCUGGCUUGUAAUAUAAAGCUUGUA